GACGAACGCUGGCGGCGUGCUUAACACAUGCAAGUCGAACGGAAAGGCCCUGCUUUUGUGGGGUGCUCGAGUGGCGAAAGGGUGAGUAACACGUGAGUAACCUGCCCUUGACUUUGGGAUAACUUCAGGAAACUGGGGCUAAUACCGGAUAGGAGCUCCUGCUGCAUGGUGGGGGUUGGAGAGUUUCGGCGGUUGGGGAUGGACUCGCGGCUUAUCAGCUUGUUGGUGGGGUAGUGGCUUACCAAGGCUUUGACGGGUAGCCGGCCUGAGAGGGUGACCGGCCACAUUGGGACUGAGAUACGGCCCAGACUCCUACGGGAGGCAGCAGUGGGGAAUAUUGCACAAUGGGCGGAAGCCUGAUGCAGCAACGCCGCGUGCGGGAUGACGGCCUUCGGGUUGUAAACCGCUUUCGCCUGUGACGAAGCGUGAGUGACGGUAAUGGGUAAAGAAGCACCGGCUAACUACGUG
rnacentral:rRNA from 1 species